CCUCUUUCCAGUGGGUGCAGAUGGUGUCUCUCCCUCUCCCAGUGGGUCAGGGUUCAAACUCUCUCCCAGUAGGUGCAGAUUUGCCCUUGGGAAUAGUACUCAAUUUUCCAGAAAGAUAUCAGUAACCUGGAGUGAUGUUGAUUUCUUCCUUUUCAUAAGCCGUCAUAGAGUAAAUGGUUCUCCUUAGUUUUGGAGACUGAAAAUUCAAGACAACGUGACUCUGUCAUGUCAGCUUAUGAUGAAGUCCUGCCUUGUCUUUGACACAACAUGAGAAGGGCAUAUCACACAGAAAUACAAGAGUAGAGAUUGGGAAGGGACCAGUCUAUUAAAAAUAAUGACCUGCUCUGUGUGGACUGACUUGGACCCCAUAAGAAACGUAUUGAUCUCUAUCUCUAGUGACUUAUUCACC